GCAUAGAAGGAGAUUUUGUAAAAAUAACUCAGCAAUGUGUGCCGGGCUCUUAUUGCGUUUUCCAUGGUAAAUAAACAAUUCAACAGCUAUGCACGGUAUACAUUCAUAUUUGCAACGGUCCAGAUUUGCUUGCUUGCGGAAGUUCUUGUCGACCAGGCAAACCCAGAAUCAACUAGAGAAGGGAGCUGAUUCGAAAAGAACAGUGGUCGCCAAAGGCUCAAUCAGUCUGUGCCUAGUCUAUAGAUUCUCUCCCUCUCUUUAUAAAGGUAAUUCAAUGGAAAUGUACUUAAGAUCUGUGUGAGAGGCAAGAUCAUUUUUGGUGGUCAUUCAUCAGAACUUUAUCGAAUGGUAUGCAACUGAAAUAAGUGCGGCACUCACUUCUUUGUCAUGUUUUGCAGUACAUAAUUCUGCUGUCGAACAUAAUGCGGCGCAGUAGGAUAAUUGGUCAUCAUGAGACACAAGCCUUGAGAUUGUCAAAAAAUGUUGCUCUGACAACAUUAUCACCCAAAGCCAUGUGUUUCCAUCGGGAAAAGUUUCGUUUACUAAAACCCGGUUUACCAUUGUUGAAAAGCUAUUGCUUUUAUCUGCCGCCGGGCUCUGUGUAUGUACACUGAUGACGUGCCACACCCUGUCUUUGUGAAGUGCGUGCGCCGGCAAAACGUUCCAGUACGGAUGUUAAGCUUGCCCACCCCAUGUCAUGCCAUCUUGGCGUAGGCCUUACCCCUUUCUACUGACUGGGCAACAUUCGACGCUCUCGCUCUCGUGACGCCGAUUGUACGGUUGCAGCUUUUGCCCGCCAAUUUUUAAUUUCAUUAGCUUUUUACUUCCUUCAGGUCCUCCUGCAAUUACUUAUUUUUUGCAAUUAUAAAUUUUGGUCCGCCGUUCAGAGCUACCCACGCGAUUCAAAGGAACGAAAUAAAAACGUAGGAAAGUAUUAGUCGGAAAUUCCAAAUGUCUAAACGAUACCACCGGCCCGUGCGUUGACUGGGCCUCCUGUUAAAUUUUUGCGGAAGUCUUAGAAAGUGUUUUCUUUUGAAUGGAUGGUCAACGAUUCAGAUGCAAUUACAUUUGCAUGGCAAAUAUAAACGCUUGGCCGAAGCAGAAAGAGCUGAAAAACUGUGCUAUUGAUAACACUUGAUGAAAACGAGCAGUGAUGAAUAAGCAAAAAGCUGGUGCGCAAACAUACGGGCUUGGUCAACAAAUUUAACGAGGUACUCGCACACACGAUCUGAUUAUCCACAGGAGCAGAGGGCUUGUAGGAGUCGUCGACCUUUUGGAAUUGAGAAUAGUUUCGUGAACACUGUCCAGACUGCAUUUCUAGUUUGGGCAAACAACUAAGCUCCCAGCGAGUGGCCUUCAACCGCUUUUUUUCGCAGCGUAUUUACGUAAAUCCCAAAGCGUGGUGUGCGGACAUGUCAAUGGGCAUAAUAAACGGGCAAGGCUCAUCAACACCCAAAUCGUAGCCAAGCCCCGCGCAGGCGGAGGGAAAGCGAAAGCUUGGAAAAUUAAUGCAAAUGCGUAAAUAAUUGACACAACGACAACUAAUGUGGCUUGGUAUGUCUGGAAUGUGCUUUGCACACCAGUCGAGUGCACAAGCCUUGUUUGUAUCUCAUCGCCGGAGACAUUUAAAAUCACAGGCACAGCCAGGCAGGCCGUCAUCGAUGUGCAUCGCCAGGGAGCGACGAUAUCCGACCCGCAUGCGAAAUGAGAUGGCGCGACUGUUGGCAGAGCACUAGCAAAUCCAUAAGCUAAGAAGUUCCCCUUUGAUGUAGGUUCCUAAACGGCAAUAUGAACCGCGGAACAAUUCAAAAAUUUCAUUAUUUGUACCAGAUGAGGUGUUUUAAUAAAGGCAUAUAAAAUUUA